rnacentral:tRNA from 1 species
GGGGAGAUGCCCGAGUGGCCAAAGGGAGCGGGCUGUAAACCCGCCGGCUUACGCCUACGGUGGUUCGAAUCCACCUCUCCCCACCA